AAGUCGUAACAAGGUAUCCGUAGGUGAACCUGCGGAUGGAUCAUUACCAAAGGAUUCUGAUCCACGUAUUGUGAACUGUAUUGAAGCACAGUCAGUGGGGCAACUCACUGGCUGUACAACUAAACGUACAAGACAUCUAACUGAAGUUACUUUAGUAAAUUUAUAAACUAAAGACAACUUUUAGCAAUGGAUCUCUUGGCUCUU
rnacentral:misc_RNA from 1 species